rnacentral:tRNA from 1 species
CACUAAAAAGCUUAAAGUAAGUCUUGGUCUUUUAAACCAAUUAUGGUAAAUCGCCUAUCUUUAGUGA